UUGCUUUCGGAACGACCUACAUGUUUAAUGAGUUACAAAGCAGAACUGAGGCUUUUGAUCCUGAUUUUUCUCUCAGCUCCAACAGGUAAAAGAUUGUCCUCACAGCGUUAGGGUCUGCACUGAAGAGCUGAAAACAAGGCUCAUGGGGAACUGCUAACUGAAAUACAAGGUUGUGGCUUUAAAAGGAGAAGUGAAUGUAUCAAGAUGUUACAGUUUGUCAGGAGGCAGAAAAGAAAGGUGUGGUGUGUUGACCUUGGCCAGCUGACCACAUUGCUCUCUGUUCCCCUCCUCACCAAGUCAGUGGGAGAAAACAAAAAUAAAAGCUGAUAGGCCAAGGUAAAUGUAGGGAGAUUACUUACCUAUUCCCAUUGUAAGCAAAACAGGCUCUGUGGGCCACCAGGCCGCCUCUGCUCUUAGCACUCAGUGCCCUCCUCCUUCCCUCAGCAUUUUUUUCUGGCCUCAGUGUUAGCAGAGUUGUUUUUGCUUUUCCUUUACUUUGCACUGCUCUCCAGUGUUUUGCCCUUUCUGGAACAUUCGCACAGCGGCACCAGCGAUUCUUCUGAUGGGCUUAGCUGUGGAACCAGCUGUGGUAGGCCAGGCCCUUCUCCUCACAGAACCCGUCCUGCAGCCCUGCUGAUGCUAGCACCUGGCUGCCCGCAACAAAAGGAAAGGCUUGGUACCACACUGCGGAAACCACAAUCUGCUGUCCUCAUGCCAAGAUCAUAUGGGUGCUGAGCCAAGAGAACAACACAUCCCAUUCUGUGGCUCAAUGUGUCCACUACCAGAAGAUCUGUGAGAUGAAGUGUAUAGAAGAAAAAAGAAGUAUUGGUGACAGGGAAAUAUUCUGUGUUUGGGUCAAAGGCUACCCUUUUCUCUAUGUUCUGCAUGAUAUGACUUCUGCAUCUACACUGUAGGAGCCAUAAUUUGUUUAGUGAUGAAUAUAAGAACAACUGUAGGAGAACAGAUGGUGUCCAUAUUUGUCUGGAUUUUCUUCCAGCCAAGAUUUUGUUUAUCUCUCACAGCAGAUUCUGUUGCUCGUCUCUUUUCCACUUUAAAUCACUGAAUAAUAUUCAACUGUUCUAAUACUUACAUUACAUGUAUUUCAGGACUGUAUGAAAAAUUGGUCAAUAUAAAAUUUUAAAAAAUCACAAUUACUCCUGCAACAUCAUAGGUUUUCUCAUGUAUUUAUCUUUGUCAUUAUAAUAUUUUGUUCAUCUGCUGACUUCUAAAGUACUUCAAAGCUAAGUGACUAAAAUUACUACUUACAUCUGCUGGCAGAGAGUAUGCAACUCCUGGCAUCAUUCCUAUCUUUACCUGUUUUUGCCUGCUGUUUCAUA
rnacentral:lncRNA from 1 species